CAGUAUACACGUGGCACGAGGAGUCCCUGCCAUGUUCUCUCUGUGUUUCUGUCGUCAAACUGUGAGAACUUCGAAGGAGCAUCAUAAUUUCAGCUAACAAUAUUAAUGGAUUAAUCAGGAUAGCACGCACAUAUCUGAAUGAGUUAAAUUGGUCAAUCGCCAGCCUGGAGGACACAGAGAAUUAUCACGUUCUCGAGGCAGCGUCGUGCAACGAUUGAGUGGUUACCGGUCUCCAGUUGAAUAUACCAAGAGCGCCAAUCACGUCGCUGAAGGACACGGAGAAUCAACAUGUUUUCGAGCAACGUCGUGCACCGCUCGCCAGUUGAGCAUACCAAAAAGGUUAUUUUUAACUGGAAAUCGCCAUAAACAUUGAGCGUAAUCGAGAUAAACAUACAGCAGGAUACGGGAUCGACACGUUUGCAAGGCAACAAUCGAG
rnacentral:lncRNA from 1 species